AGAGUUUGAUCCUGGCUCAGGAUGAACGCUGGCGGCGUGCCUAAUACAUGCAAGUCGAACGAGAUGCUUUUGUAGCAAUACGAGAGUAUUCUAGUGGCGAACGGGUGAGUAACGCGUUGGUGACCUACCCCAAAGUGCGGGAUAACAGUCCGAAAGGAUUGCUAAUACCGCAUGUGGUCCUCGGGUUUAGAAACCGGUGACUAAAGGAGCAAUUCGCUUUGGGAGGGACCUGCGUCCCAUCAGCUAGUUGGUGAGGUAAUGGCUCACCAAGGCGACGACGGGUAGGGGACCUGAGAGGGUGACCCCCCACAAUGGAACUGAAACACGGUCCAUACACCUACGGGUGGCAGCAGUAGGGAAUAUUGCUCAAUGGGCGAAAGCCUGAAGCAGCAACGCCGCGUGUGCGAUGAAGGCCUUCGGGUCGUAAAGCACUUUUCUGCGAGAUGAGAAAGGACAGUAUCGUAGGAAUAAGUCUCGGCUAACUACGUGCCAGCCGCCGCGGUAAUAC
rnacentral:rRNA from 1 species